UACGGAGGGGGCUAGCGUUGUUCGGAAUUACUGGGUGUAAAGCGCGCGUAGGCGGACCUGCAAGUCGGGGGUGAAAGCCCGAGGCUCAACCUCGGAACUGCCUUCGAUACUGCGGGUCUCGAGUCCGGGAGAGGUGAGUGGAAUUCCUAGUGUAGAAGGUGAAAUUCGUAGAUAUUAGGAAGAACACCAGUGGCGAAGGCGGCUCACUGGCCCGGUACUGACGCUGAGGCGCGAAAGCGUGGGGAGCAAACAGG
rnacentral:rRNA from 1 species